GCCGAUUUGGCUCAGUGGAUAGAGCAUUGGCCUGCGGACUCAAAGGUCCCAGGUUCAAUUCCGGUCAAGGGCA
rnacentral:tRNA from 1 species